rnacentral:piRNA from 1 species
UAAAAUAAUGGUGGAGAUGAUUGCAUGUA